rnacentral:rRNA from 1 species
UACGGGGGGGGCGAGCGUUGUUCGGAAUUACUGGGCGUAAAGGGCUCGUAGGCGGCCAACUAAGUCGGAUGUGAAAUCCCCAGGCUUAACCUGGGAACUGCAUCCGAUACUGGAUGGCUUGAAUUCGGGAGAGGGAUGCAGAAUUCCAGGUGUAGCGGUGAAAUGCGUAGAUAUCUGGAGGAAUACCGGUGGCGAAGGCGGCAUCCUGGACCGACAUUGACGCUGAGGAGCGAAAGCUAGGGGAGCAAACGGG